rnacentral:rRNA from 1 species
AUGGAGCCGAGCAUGGCGCCGCGGAGGCUAUGGCACGUGGUGCGCGCCGUGCUGUUCAUGCUCCGCAAGGGCAUGUCCAAGCGGAAGCUGUCCAUGGACCUCCAGCUCCUCCUCCACCGCGGCAAGAUCGCCGGCAAGGCCCUCAGCAGACUCAUGAGCGCCAACGGCCACCACGACCAGGCUGCCUCCAGGUCAGCCGCGGAGGCACCUCCGCCGGCGUCCUUGUCGCGCCGCACCCUCGACUCCGCGCUCGCCGUCUACGGCACGCGCGGCGCCGGCCGCGAGGUGGAGUUCAGCUGCAGCAACACCCCGUCCUACCCGCCCAUCCAGCUCAUCCCCGCCAAGCGCCGCCGCCGCAACAACCGCCGCACCCACCGCGGCGCCAACGGCGCGGAGCCAGGGUGGUACAACUACGACGCGGCCGACAUUGCCAAGGUCUUCGAGGUCCUCAACGACGAGCAGCUGCUGAAGGAGGUCGUCGGCGACGACGGUGCGGCGCCCCUCGCCGUGUUGGCGACGCCGUCGCCCGCGCUGUGGUCGAGCUUCGGCCGCAGCCCGGCGCCGGUGAGGCAGCUGCGGAUCACCGACUCGCCGUUCCCGGUGAGGGACGACGCGGCGGAUCUGGAGGGCGGGCUGGUGGACCGCGAGGCGGACGAGUUCAUCAAGAAGUUCUACGACCAGCUGCGCAGGCAGCAGAACCUCGCCGCCGCCACCCCGGAGUACGGCUACGCGGGUCCGGCUGCCGGCGUCGCGUACUAG